AUUUUGAACCUGCACCAGCACCGUGCAUGUGCAUUAGCUUCACCGACAUGAACGUGCUUAAUAUUUUUCGUGGUCAAAGCUGGUAGAUUAAUUCAGGUUUCAAUAAUAUUUAAAACACUGCAUAUAAAUAAACACAUAUUCGAAUAUUAAUGUUUUGCUUAUAAGGGUUUGAUGAUUUUUGGAAUCUAACAUGGAAUUGAUCGCGACAAUGAUGGCAUGUAUAUGGUUUUAAAGUAGAGUAGCUUCUUUCAAUUUAAAAUAAUCUGAGAAAAAUAUUAUGGGCUAGAUCUUGAAGAUAUAUAAUGGGCAUAUGUCUAUUUUUAUUGUGCAGCUUAUAAGAGAAGUAUUGAAUAUUAUCAUAGAGUCGUAGUUAAUGAGAUUUUGCUGCCACGAAGAAUAUAGAGUUCUCACAUGUAAGACGCCAACGGAAACUAUAACAUCACUGAGGAAGCUAGAGAGAUUGAAAAGCAACUCAGACAGCCCACUAAGGACAAGAAUGAAGCUAUGCGAGGCCAAGACUUUGAGAAGGCUGAAAGUAUGACUAGAACUAGAACUUAGUGACGAGAUAGCUGUUGUUUUAGUCAAAGACAAAGAAGUGAGCAAAGCUGAGACUGAAGCUAGACAAGCAGGACCUACUGUCACUGAAUCCGAGAAAGUAUUGUAUGAAAAAUCUAGAUGUCUUCCCAAUAUUGCGUAGAGCCUUCACACGAGUUAUUGUCGAAGACAGAUGUUAAAGCUAUUAUAUGGGCGAUCCAACGUGCAUGUGUUGGGCUCAAGAAUCCGAACCGCCCAAUCACAAGUUUCAAAAGUGUUGUAUGUACUUUAUAUUGUGUGUAGUGAUUCUUUCAUGCUUCUUGAUCCUACAUCUAAAACAUCACAUUGUAUUGUGUUUCGAUGCAAACAGGUUUGUAAAC